UCUUCAUUGCUUUACAGUUCGUUAGAUUUAAUAACCAAAAUUUGCCAAAUGGAAAAAAACGUCUCAAUGCCAACUAUUAAGCGGUGGCGACAUAAUGCCUAAACAAGGGACUCUUUGCAGAACUGGCAGAUGGCAAGAGCAAAAUGGAAUUGGAAAUAGCAAAAACAGUGUUUCGAAGGAAGAGAAAAACAAAGAGGAAAGGAAAUCGAUUGCAAUAACUUGAUAAUCCCUUCUGAGAUAUAAGAUUACGUAUUUUCUGAUAAUUUAUUUUUAUAAAUAUAAGUAAAAGAAA